UUCCUAUCUACAUUGAAAGCGUCAUCGUCGGCACCACCGACCUCAUCAUUGUUGGUGCAAGAGCAAGACCCUCUCAGUGGAUCCUUUUCUUCUCCGUAACAGCCUCUCUCGUAUAUCUUUUCUCUAUCUGUUUGGUUUCAAAAAAGAAGGUAAAGAAAAAGAUUAGCUGCCAAGAAGUUAAAAAGCAAAGGAAAAUUGUGGCCUUCAAACUACCAUGUCUCUCAAUAAAUGGAAGGACACAGAAAGCAGGAGAAGAAAUUGAACAAAAUCAUCGCGAGAUCAACAAACUUUCUGGCGAUAAACACUGCUUGAAUCCACAAUAAAACACCUCACAAUCCACG
rnacentral:lncRNA from 1 species